AAAAUUGCUAUUCAUUCACAGAAAAAAACUCUAUUUCAAAUAUAUAGUUAUUUUUUCUUUCAAAGUAUAUCGCGCAUACACCGUAAUAAGUAUGUAGUAGUUUUAAGCGUCAUUUCGAAUCAGUUGCAGUAUUUUUCCUCUCUGCAUGCUAAUAUUUGUUCACUUUUUUUUUUUAAUUUGUAAAUGGUUUUGUUUGACUAAUGGAUCUUUUUUUUUUUUUUUUUUUCGAAUAAAUUGUUGAUGCACAGUUGUGUUUUAUAAGGAGAAAUGGAGUGUGUUGAUAGCGAUUAAUGUUUUAAUUUAACACCGAUAAAUGUGGAUUCAGUUUGGCUUAAUGGUACCGAAAACGCAUUGAUAGUUCAAACGUCCAUUUAACCUCUUUAUGCAUUUUUUAAACGUGUAAAUCCGAUUGUAUACAGCGAUUAUUUUAAUGCCGGUAUUUAUUACAUUUUAACAGCUUCAUCAAAGCCCCCUUAAGUUCUGGCACCCGCUCACCAUAUUUUUAAGGCUAUUUGUGGAGGGCAGGGCAUUUCCUUUGGGACUCGGGCUAUGCUUAAUUUAUAUUUAUUUUAUUUUAAAUGUAUGCUGCAUAAAUAAAGGCGCAGGCUCACACAUACGAAUGCACAUUAUCUUUCUACCUCUUUGAGCCCCCGUCUUUCCCCGCUUUCCACGAUUUUCCCUGGUGAAUGCGUGUUGCUUUUCCGGCGCCGCAUAAACAAACAAGCGGUUAAGAAUUAUCGCGAGGCUCUGGGGAGAGCGGCGAGGGAGUGAGAGGUACUGAUAUGAGCCGGAAUAAGAUAGGGCGCAGUGUGGGCGUGGCAGCUCCUGGGCAAUGCGCCCACUUCUCGAGCAAUUAAUUCAUUUCGCCUGGCUAGAGAGAAUAUUGUUGAAAAACAAUUAAAAAUUGCACAAUAAAAUGGGCAAAUUAACAAACACAUAGGAGAGCAUCUCAUAUAUGUACGUAUUUGUAAUGGCUUUAAGUCUUGAACUCGUUUUUAUUAUCCCACUUUUUGUAGCUGUUUUUGUAUUUUUUUUAUUGCUUUGGCCGCGCAAAAGUUAAAAUUAAUAUUUGUUAGCUUGAAAGUUUCUGGCGCUUUUUCGGCCAGCAGAAAAUGUUGAUUUAUGUAAUCCCCCUUUCUCCGAGGAAAAGUUAGUUUUCUGAAUUAUGGCUGCAGAGUAUUGGCCAUCUCCGUCUCGCUUGCACGUAAAUAUUGUCCAGCCUUAUACCAUUACCACCACAUCCCCCUUCAUCGAGCCCCCUUUUACACCUACUCGGUAGAGACGUGCUCAAGUGGCGCCGACAUGAACCCGGCUCCAAAAAUAGCAUCUAUUGGAUAUCGAGAGCAGCCUAAAUUUAAACAACCCACUCGAAAAAAAACGAGAUCAAAGAAAAUUCGCGAUGGGGUGUUUGCUGAUGGCAUAGUGAUUGCAUGAAAAGUGAAAUCAUUUUUGAUAAUUAACGCUGGGGCAAGGGUAUGCUUAGUAUUCAUUUGGAAUCACCUGAAAAGACAGCUUUCCUAAUUUUUCUCUACAAAUGUAGUGUGUGUAGUAAAAUAUUACAUCUGUUGUGCUUAACGCGUGAGCACCGUACUACCGUACAUUAGACGCCGUUUCGGGCAAUUCAAGGCCGAAUUUAUUUGCACAAUAAACAUUAAAGGGCGCCAGGAAGCCGCCAGCGGCCAACCGCCAACCAGACCGUUUGGGGCUCCUCCUCGUUUCGGCCGCAAACAUGUUUGGCAUAUGUGAUGGCGUUUCCUUUAGGCAUGCAUGCGUGCCACCAAACGAUUGCAGACAUCCUCGACAUCCCAGUGUGUUUUAUUUGCACUCGUUAUAAUAUUUCCACGUUAUGUUUGCGCUCCUUUCUCGCUUUUCUUUUUGUUUUCCGUUUCAGAUGGCUUUGCUCAGCCAUGUUGCAUACUUUUGUGCGCGCUGGCGACAGGAAACUGGAGCAGCCGCCUCAAGUGGUCGUCGAUGAUGCCACCCGCCAUCCGCUACCGAUGGCACCCCCUAAACAAGGACCCUUCCUCCACAGACGCCAGCUGAAAAUCCAGGAUACGUUUGGAUUUUUUUGGGCAUGUGUAUGCCUUUUGAAUUUUUAAAUAGGCCACAAGAGAUGACAGGGGGCGCAAGGCAGCGGCAUUGACAGUCGGGCUUCGUUUUGAAUACCCAUUGGGGUAACUCUCUGGGAUUGUAUGGGCUAAGAUCCCAGUUUGGAACGCAACAUGUAAUCUGGAGAUUUUAAAAUAUGCUAUGGCCUAGCUUUGGGAGUUGCACAAGUCCGCUGAAAGCUGGUAGUCUAGUCUGAUUAAAGGUUGGGUAUAACUUUUGUCUGAACCUCCCUUUGGUUUGGGCUCUUCCUUUGGGUUUUUCUGAUUUGACUUAAACUCUCUUUUCGUGCGCACUUCAGACCAAACUCAAGUGGGGCUUUCAAAUGGCAAAGUGAUGCGAGGGGCGGCACUCUGACGAUUGUCGCCGUCUGUGGCUGCACUGUAAUUGCUGCCAUUUGCACGCCUCAGAUCUUGCCAUAUUCUAUUCUGCUGCCGAAUUCCCAACGAGUCGCAACGAUUGCACCAAAUGUGUGCGUGCAUCUAUUAACCAAGAAACAUUUGCGUUUGGAUUUUUAAAGUGCGUCGAGUGUAUGUUUACUUUCCUAAUUGGCGCUCGAUUCAUAGAAUUCUCCAUGUAAAUGCCAGACAUACCAAGUGACUCAUUCAAUUCCACGCACUCAGCUGCUGACCUUCAAAUGGGAUGCGAUUUAUCGAUGAAGAUCUUUAUAAUCACUUCGAAUUGCCUCGUGGCCGAUAAAACAAGUAUUGCCGUCUAAAUUGGCACAAACUGUUUGCGCUCGGUCGAUUUGCACUUGAAAAUGUCAGUGACCCAGAAACCCAGUUACAAGUGAAUUCUCGGCCCCACCCAAAAAUUAAACCACCGACAGUUGCCCGCCAAUGUUUAAACAAAUGAGGUCAUUAUGAGAGCAACGGAGACGCGAAUGGCGAAUGGCAAAUGGCGAAUAAUGGCAGCAGCCAAGUGGCGACAAAGUAGUUAAAGUUUUUAUCUCUCUGGAAAAACUAUAAAAUGGCAAAUGAAAAGUUGAUGAGCAUUGAACAAGGCAACUGCAACUGUAACUGCAAUGCAAUGCAACAGCCACAUCCACAGCCACUGCCACUGCAAGUGCAAGUGUAACAUCCAUUGCAAUUGCCCCUGCAACUGGCAGUUGUUGAGCAACUGAGUGGCAAACUGCUAAGUGAGUACUUGGCAAUUGAAUGCACACGUUCCUCCGAAGACGAAGAAUAAAGGGAUAAUAUCUACCCGAAAAAAGGUGGAUGUUGACAUCCAACGCAAGCACGUUCGCGGCCCCCAAAGAUGCAACUGAUUUCUGGGGCAAUCAGUAAUUAAACGGCUUUAUGGCUGCUGGCUAAGAACAAACUUGUUCCUGGCAACAGAGUGCCAGCGCGAAAAGAUUUCCAAAAUGGCUAAUUAAUGGGGUAGUUUUAGCACAGACAACAGCGUUCAAAUGUACAGAAAGACGUGCCAAUUAAAUAUAUUUGGACAAAGUCCCCUUAUACUUCGACUGCGCCUUUAUUAUAGGUUGGAGCAUAACGGCUAAAUUUCAUUGACAGUUAAGUAUAAUUUGUGUGUCUGUUUAUCAAAUAGCGCCAAAGCUUAAGAAUUUUUCAAGACGCGAUAAUGCGAGUAUACGACUUGCACAAAUCGCCGCAUAAGACUUCUGAAUGGUCCCAGAUCCCCCAAGCAAUCCAUUAUAUGUAGAAGAUCAAACUCGUGACUUUUGGUGGCAAGCUGCCCGUAGAAAGUUUUUCAAUCACUGCAAAGAAUGAAUCAGGUACGAGGCGAAAAGGACGAAGGUCUGAAAAUAUGAGUGCGAAGGGGUCGAAUUCUCUGCGGUGGACAAACGUUGCAUAUUAAAAAGAACUUUCCAGCGAAAACAGAAAAUAGUCAACAACAAAAAGCAUUGCGGUGAAAUACUUGGAUAUUAAGCGCUUGAAACCGAAAGUUGCUGAAAGAGUCGGUUGGCAAAGUGAAAAUAAAACUACACGAAAAAACAUCAAAAAUUGCAUAUAGAAGUUGAGCUUAUUAUGCGCGUAAAACUUUUCGCCGUCUCCGUCAUCGCCGCUUGCUUUUAACUUACUUUGCGUAUUAAGUAAACUUGGCUGAUAAAGUUCCGACCGGGAUAGGAAAUAAAAAAAUAAAAUGCCAGAAGAAAAAAAACCGAACGGAACCACGCGCAAUGUGUGUGACCUCUGAAGAAUCAAGAAAAGUGCGCUUUCACUGCUUCUUUUCAUCAAGUCACCUCAGGUAUGAGUGAGAAAUUGUGCAGAGUGAGAAAUUCGCAGGGAUUUGUGGGAUGAUGAUAUUAAAUUAUUAUAUUGCAAAAGUCUGUUUGGCUUAAACCAGCAUUAUUUAAUCGCAUGCUCUGAUCCAUGCUUACAUGCGGACAACCUAAACAAUCAAAUGGUUUUGAGCACGACAGAUCAUAUGAAUACAUUUCAUACCGCCUUUCUCCAUCUACAUAUGUACAUAUACUUGGAGAAAUGUUCUACCCAGCUAUAUCGUCCUUUUAAGUCAUUUUUUUGCUCCUCUCUCCCCUGGCGUUUUAUUUUGCUUUUAAGUGCUUGAAUAUGUCUUGUUAAGUAAGCAGUUAGUUUUUUGGUCUCACGUUGUCCCUGUCCCCGUCCUUGUGCCACCCCUAUCCCCUCUCCACCUCUUCCAAGCCCCUGGCAUGAAAUUUUUCGCAAAGAGUUUCCACCACCCCCUCAGGCCUACGAAUUUUCCUGGCCAGCAAGUUUCAACUCCUGCACCGCCUGCAAGCCAAAAGUUACAGCAUUCACUCUCCAUUUUUUUGCUCCUCGCUUUCUUCAACUUUUUUUAAAGUUUUUUUUUUCUUUUUUUUUUAACCAAAAGUUGUGUUGCCUCUUAUUUUUCUUGGUUGGCCCUUUCUGGGUGUGUUGUUCUUUUUUAUUUCUCAUUUGCGGCGCUAGAAACUUUAAACAAACCCGAAAAGUCAGCUCGGUUAGGAGCCAAUGGGUGGGUGGGCAGUUAGGAAAGAUGAGUUGACAUAAGUAAGCCUAAGAGUGUUUCCCCAGAAUCUUCCGGAUUAGAGAUGCCAAUGCAGGGGGAAGGCUACGAAGAGAAACGAGAAAGCUUGACUUUCUAUAAGUUCGAAACGGUAAAAGCAAGUGGUUAGCCGGUUAUGUUGGCAGCGACUUGGAGAGGGAUUUAAAGUCACUUCAGGGAUCAAGAAGUAAUUCCCGACAGGAUAAGUUCACAUCGUAACUAAUUGAUGUGCAUACAUUUUGCACGAUAACAUAUCGAUUUGUUGCUAUCGAUCCUUCUAAGGGGCCAUUCUAAAUCGAAAGACCUUCGUAUGGUGCUUCUAUUUUCAAAAUCAAUGCACGUAAAGUGAGCAAUUAAAGUCCAAUUUGAAAGGUUUCAAGCAAUCGUUAUCGAUGGCCCUUGACCAAGUUUUCUUCUCGCUAUUUCGUUCGCUCUUUUCAUUAUUUUCCCUCUAUUUUCGUGCAAUUUCCCCUUGAUUCUUGCGCUAUUGCCUUUUCUCUGUGGCGCCGAACAAAAGUUCAAUUGCAUAAAUUAACCAAAAGCACACACAUCUACACAUAUAUUUCACAUUCCACAUUCUACGUUUUGCUGCCACACAGCCACAAAGCAUUUGCUUCUUCUCCAUUAUUGAUGCAUUCAAUGACAAUUCGUAGGAUCUAUGGGGAGAUUGAAUGGCUGGAUGGAUGGAUGUGGAACUGGCAAUGGAAAGGGUUGAGUGGUUUCGCUCGCCAGUGAACUCAUUAAAAUGCCAUUUAAUUAAUCAUCGCAGCGACGACGGCAGCGAAGCCAACCAAAUGCUAUAAUUCAACGCUCUUCUCUAACUGUUAUUGGGGUUUCAAGGGGCGCGAGCGGCUGUCCAGAGGGAGCUUCCAAGGGGGAGUGUCGUAGGGGAACUAUGUGGGGUAUAUAUGGGUGGCUGUAUACCGUGGUCGAUUGAUUCAUGCUCCGCUUGUCCGCUCAUUAAACAUUGCCCAUUGCAGCUGCGGCAUCAUCAGCAUUAUUAUCAUCACCGCUGCAUAUCAUCAUCCGCAUCAAACGGGGUUUAUCACCGACAUAUAUACCAACCAUCAACAGUUACUUAGUUUUCCCUCCUUAGAGGAGGGUGCUUUCUGGCAGUGUGAUUUCAGUGAAUCAUACUUCUUGUUUUUAACCCAGAAACUUAUUAUGGCUCCCCACCCUUAAGUUAGUAGCUUAUCUUCUCCAGCAUCUUAGGCCAUCCGGUUCCUUUCUAUACAUUUCCCGAGUAUUGGGGCGGGGACGUGGACAAUUCCAAUUAACUGAGCAACUUUUCGCUCAAUUGAAUAUCUUUGAAGUGCACUGGGAGAAACCAAGUUCUUUUAAGUAAAGAAUUUAGUUUUGACUAAUAAAUAUACCACGUAUAUUCACUAGGUGUAAACUUUAAAAUCUAUUUUCCAUUUAGAAAUAUUUAAUAAUAUUUUUGUGCACUUUUUUCGGAAGUGAGGCUCUGUAGGCUUAGCCCAUAGGCAGUCAACGUUUUGCACUGGCCAGUUGGAGAGAUGAAGCGAGCUAUCAAUCAGGUUAUCAAUCAAAUCCGCCGGCCCAUUUUUCCCUUUCCCCUUCUCUGAUGAUCGAUUUGUGCUAGACUGCUAGAUUUCUGGGCUACCUGCCCACUGCCCCGCCCACUUUGCCGGACAGCUGGCGAGCGUUUUCCACCGCCUUUUUCCCUGACUUACCCGGGGGAGUGGAUUUCGUCCCUCUAGCUGCAAAUUAUGCAGCCCGACGGGGCCAUCGAUCAAAAAUUCGUACGCAGGAGCAGCUGGUUCGGAUUCCUAUCUGCGGCUCAUAUUUUUUGCAGUCAUCAAUUUGGUCUUUGAUUUGCCUCGCUUCUCACUAUUCGCUUUUCCCUUUUUUCCUACGUAUUUUGUUUGGCCGGUUUUAAUUCUUGGCUGCAACGUUUGCAUUUGGGAUUUAGGCCUCGGAAAGGGGGCGUCCGGUAUUCGAUAGUAUAUGCUCAAUUGAGCCACCAUGAUGGAUGGGUGGUGGUGGAUUGGAAUAUAGGUAUAUUGCAGGGGCCAUAAGUCUAUCUAAAUAUAACAGAUGAGCCAUACCCUUCUGAUUUCGAUUCUCGCUCUCGUGUGUCAAUUUGCAUUCAAUCGCAAUUUCAAAUUGACUUUGAGUCUAUAGUGUGGUAUAAUAAACUUCUAAAUUGCACUGAGUUGGGAAUAGACCUAACUUUCAAUUUAUUCUAAGGCCUUAAAAUAAAGUAGCCAUUUCAAUUGUGCAAAUGUCCUUUUUAAAUUGAACUUCUAUUUUAUAGCUGAAUAAAGAAAAAAUGACAUUUUAUAUACCGUUUAAUCUGUUCAUAAAUAUUCUUCCUACACAAAAUAGUACAACUCAAAUUCAAAUUCAGGCGACUGAAAGCGAUUCGUUUGAUUGAUUCAGUUAUUCCCGUGGGGCCCAUAUAAUUGCUUAUCAACUCGGUGGAUGGCCAAUAAAAACGAAAUCGACGACUAUCAACAGCGAAAUGGCCAAAACAAUGAGCGGGGGCAUCGUAUGCAUUAACAUUAAUGUCUUUUCAUUUGCAUUACCAAAGUUGCAGGCGGGAAGACUGGGGAUGCUGAAUGGGGUUAAGUGUUUCAGUACAGAGACAAUACGAGUAACAAAAAAAAAAAGAAACAAAAAAAGAAACACAGAAACUGAGCGUAAUAAACCCGAUUUUCUUACUGUCUCCAGGCCCAUUCUCAAUUGAUCGAAAUAUAUUCUGUACAUAGAGCAUUUAUGUUCUCGGUCUAUGACACUCCCUGCCCCUUUUCCCAUAGAGCUAAAUUAACACCAUCACACAAACUAAUUGACUUCAAUUAAAACAAAUAAUGCCAGUGCAGACUGCAAUAGUUGAAUGCUCAGCGUUCAAUGCUACAUAGAUGUUGAACGGAAUCUGAACCGCAACGAGUAAAUAUUUCUGUUCCACUUAUACCACACAUACCCUGUAAUCGGCCAGGUAAGGGGGUAUAUUUAAGCACAGAUUCUGAAGAAAGACAAAUCAUUUUCGCUCUGUGCUCACAUGCUAAAAUAUCCAUAUAUCAACAUACAUUUUUUGUACUAUAUUAUCACAUUUAAUGUAAUUUGAAUACUCGGUACCAAUCAUUCGAAAUCUUCACCAUCGAAGUUAUCUUUACUUUUCGUUUCGAACUCGCAAAAACGUAAACAUGUAAACAACAACUUUUUGAAAGCCCCCAGCUUUGUUUAGCCCUUUUCCUUUUCAUCGUUUUUUGAACUAUUGUAGAGAGCAGAAAUAUAGAUGGUUUCAGAUAUAAACGCAAACAAUUGAUCCUGCUCCAUUUGUUCAUUUGGAAUUCAUUUAAUUUGGUGGCGUAAGUUAAUAUAAAAAGGCUUACAUAUAAAUACGAAAUGCAGGCCACAAAUCAUGUAAAAUGUGAAACAAUAUGUUGCUACUAUUCGAUUCCAAGGAAGGUUGCAUUGGGUAAGUUGCGGCAAAGGUUGUGGGAGUCGAAAUGAAUUCAAUUGUCCAUUAUAAUUAACAAUUUCAUGUGGUUUUAUUGUGCCUUCUCGUUUUCCUUUGUGGGUGGGAAGAUCGGAAAUUGCUAAGUUAAUGAACAUUGAACAUCAAACACGAAAGUCCAAUGCAAGUGGAAAAUUAGAUCAAGUCGGUAGUCGGUAAUGCCAUUUGUCAGUUUUAGUUGACGAAUUUAUACACAUUGAAACGAGCAUCAAAUCGAUUGAAUGCCAUUUGUACGGAAAUAGUUUGUUUAAUUGAAUCGCAAAUUGAAAUUGAUUGAGUAAUAGAAAUGGAGGGCAUGAUGAACAUUGCAGGGAAAGUUAAAUGUGAAGAAAUAUUAGACUGCUGCAAAUUGUUGAGAGCAGCAAUUGCUGCCUUGAUUGACUAAGCAAGUGUUAUUGUGUAACUGUGGAUGGAAAUUCGAAUGUUAUUUCACUGCAUAGCUACGAGUAAACUAUUCAAGAAUUCAAAGAAAAAAAUGCAAGUGCCCUUCAAGACACUUUAGUUUUCAAUGUGUGUUUGCAUAGUAUUGAAGGGUAUAGUGACUGCAAAAACUCUUGCGGUUUUGUGUUGCUCUUCCUGUGGGUCGUGUGGGCGCAUUAAAUAUUUAAUUAAAUUCGGCCAAAAAGCCGCAGCAGCCGUCUAAGAAAGUAACCAAAUGAAAUGCCUUUUGCGGCUGCCAUUGAAAUGAAAUGAGCGAGCGACUUGGAGACCCCGAGCCCUUGGAGUCUGAGCCUGAGUCUCAGUCUCAGUCUGGAACUGGUAGUGGAAGUGGAACUCCGACAUGGAGACUCCGACAUUCGACCCCGAACUCUGAAAAUGCCACUGACAAGCAAAGGAAAUUUAUAGCAAAAAUUUAUGUACUUAUUGUUGCUGCUGCUACUGCUGCUGUGGCAGUUGCAGUUGCCGCCGUUGCCUCUGAUGUUGCUGCCGCUCUGCGGCUGAUGUUGGUUGUGUGGGAACGACAGCCGCCGCAUUUGCAGAAGCAUCAGUGGGCUGCGGAGGAGGAGGGGGUCAGCGUCUACGCAAAAUAUUUGCAUGCUGUUUAUACUUUUAUUGCAAAUAUCUCAUUCGCCAGUUCUCGCUCCCUUCCAAGUUUUUUGCCCGACAGCAGCCCCCAAACAGACAUGUGUCAAAGUUUGGGACACUGGCUGCUGCCCGAGGGCCGUUUUUACACCGAGCAUAAACAGAGAUCCAAGAAAGGGAGUAAAUUUAACUUUAAAAUGUUGCUUUGUAUCGUAACUCCUUCGUUAAACUGAGUAUUUAAUUUAAUUGUUAAUAUACCUUCUGUAUUUGUUCAGUUCGGGAUAAGACACAGCCCUUUAGACCAUUUCAGGGACCACUUUUUGCAGUGCAAAUAUAUAUGUUCAUGUUUUUGAACGUUGCCCCGCUCCGAGGCUCAUAAAUCACUUGUCAAAAUGUGCUGCGUCUGGUCCCGGAUUCGGAUACGGAUUCGAGGUCUGGGCUGGGGUCUCCACGGCAGUUCCAUCUGCAAAGCAGCCCCAACUGCGAUCCUCGGCAGCUAAUUCCGCCUGAUGCUUUUGCACCGAAGCAUGGAAAAGGAGGAGGGACUUUCGGUUAUGCCUCAUUUAAAUGCGGCAACUCUGACACUUUUUCAGACCCAACUCCUCCCGAAAAAAAGAAAAACUUUAAUUGUAAUAAAUUUGCCACAUACUUGCGUGCGUCGGUCUGAAGUUUUAUCUCCCCAGUGUAAUGAAAUGCUAAACAGACAACAGACACUUGUUGCCGCCCCCUCUUUAGCUUUCGGCCACGCCCAUGGGCACCCACAUGGCAGACGAAGAGGGGGUGAACUAACUAAAAUAAGAGCCGAGAACACAAAGGAUAGGACACUUUUAUUUUAUGACACAUUUUGGGCUGUCUGUAUAUACAGUCAAGUGCGGAAUAAACCAUUAGGUCUUCAACUUGAUGGAAGGCAGUCAUAAUUGAUGCCAAGUUGAUAGGCAAUUGAGUGCGUUGGGGUUUUCAUGUGAAAUGAAAAUGAAUGAUGGGAAAACGGUGGAAAUACCCCAUAUUUACUUUCAGUUUAAUUGCUUUUCAUUGAAUUGCUAAACAGAAAAUGAAACUAUGAAAAUUUGUUUACGUACUGCGUUCGCCAAUCGAGUAUUUACAAUAUUUGGAUUUGAAAUAACACUGUGCCCUAAGACAAAUACCACCACUAGGUAAUUAAUUAAAACCAUUGAUAAUUAAACACUGGUUAAUUUUCGAAAUCGGCUCAUGGCCUGGCUUAAUUAUUGUUAUUUGAUUUACAAGCACAAUGUGCCCGCUCCAAUCAAACCAGUCUAUUGAUUGUUAUUAUCACGAGGCAGCAGGUUAAAAUCUGCUGGAAACGGAUUGAUUCGAAGGAUAAUGGAGGCUCUCAGCAACUUCAGUUUCCCAGCUCUCGAGUGAGUUGCCUUUCAAUUGGGCGAUUGAAUAGCGCAGAUAGCUGGCAUUUGAGCCAUUGAAGCCAUAAGCACCACAUUAUGCCGCCUCUCUUAUCAUCGCUGGAAAAUCUCGUACUCGCGGGGAGUCCAUUAAUUGGGCCACACACACACACACACACUCACACAUGGGUCGGAAAAGUGGUGAAAAGCAGCGUGAAAGCAGGAAAAUGUCUCAUACAAAAGCUUCCAUCUGAAUGCAGACGUUGCAUGGCUUAAUGGCAUAAGCGCAGCUACCGAAGUGCUACUUAAGACGCUUCUGGAUACCUUUCGCCCACCCACCUGCCUCCUAGAUGCAUAGAUAACUGCCGGAUAGCUCCUCCUGCCAAUCCAGGCAUUGAGCGAAAAGGAUUUGCCAUCGUGAACCGACAGCUACUGCACCUCCUGCCUCCAAUUCCCACUCUGACUUCGACGUGCCGGCGUCAAUUGAGUAAAACAAAGUGCGAGAGACCCGAGGAAGUCCCCAGUCUUGACAUUCUCUCCCCUCCGCAGAACAGGACCACGUGUGUGUUCUCCAGCAUCCUGUCCUACGCACUGCGAGAAAACCAUUGGUGAGGGAGCUCGCGCUGAGUAAAUAAAUCGUGUGAAAGGAAGUUGGCGAUUUCUCCAUAUUGUAUGACUUCUUUCAGUGUACUGUCACUGCUUAUCCUGCGCAUGCAUCGCUACACUUGCGUUUUUUUCGCCCAACUCGACACACUCGCUUCUUUUCCAUCUUUUCUUUUAGCUCCCUGCUUGUAUUUCAUCAACAGCGCCUGCAUAAUAUGGCACUGCAUUCAUUCCGGUUUUCCCGCUCGUUUUGCCCCUUUCGAUUGGGAUGUGCUGUGCUGUGAUGUGAGUGCCCCAUGCAGAGUGUGGCGCUAUUAACACUUUUGUCAUUAUCGGGCAAUGGGCUGCUGCAGUGGAUGCCUUCAGGAUCUGCAGUUUUACUCCUGGAGUGGGAAACACCAUGCCGCACACCAUCCAUCCAUUCCUCCUGCUUAAACGUUGCGUUACGGUUAAUGUUACUCAGGUGAGAGGCACGGAAAACGGAAGUCUCAACUUCCGUUUGUCGCUUCUCGUUUCUCGCUUCUUCCCCUCGAUGAUGAAGCCAUUUGAUAUAAAUGCUGGUGGCCAGCCCUCCAGGUCCUCGGCAUCCCCACCAGUAAAUCGCCCUUCGGACUCCCAACCCAUUCCGCAUUCAUGUGCUCCUCUGGACGUGGCAUGCGUAUUCAAGUGUAAGCGAGUUGAAGUGUCAUUUGGAAUUUGGAGCACGGUUUUCCACCACUGGGCGAAAUGGGGCCGGGGGAGGAGGGGGUUCUACGGAUUGGUCCUCUGAUUAGGGUUGCUGCACUGCCUCACAAUGGCCAUGGAAUGUGACAUGACGUGUACAAGUGCUGCCAUCCCAACGGAAGUAGCGUGCACAGAUACUUUUCAAAGGAAGUUCAGAUACCAAUGGAAAUUUAGGUUACUUUACAAGGGCCAGAGAAAAUGGAUCCUAGAGUUAAGGGCUCAAAAACGCUGAUGCUGACAAGGAUUCCAUUAAUCGAGCAGCAAUGUAGAAGUAUUAGUCUAAAUAGUGCACUUAAUUAGGUGUAAAUGAUUAUAGCAAAUUAAUCGAAACAAUUGAAUUAAUUAUGAGUUCACUAUUUACGUAUUUUCCUUAGAACACAAUUUCAAUUCUAGAGACGAAUAGAGGUGAAAAUCGUUAAAAAAUACCACCACUCCGAUAGCGUAAAAUAUGUUACUUAAACCUCCAACAAAUACAAAUGUGGCUGGCAAGCAGACUGCAAUCGGACUUUAAGAAAACAAAAUAAAUUUGAAUUUGCAUCUGUUUGGUAACCACUGGCGAUAUGCAGAUGCAUAUCGAUAUCCAAUAUACAUGCGUACAAAUAACCAUUUCCGCGUUCGAGGAUGCCGGAAAAAAAAGUGAGAGUGAGCCACAUGAAUUAUUUAUCGAUUGUCUGCCCACCGCACUCUUCCGUUCCCGCUUAAUUUCAUAUGUAAUCGGAUUCUGGGCACGGCCAUCGGACUUAAGACCCCCAAAUGCAGAAAAGGGAACCGUUCACGCACAAUCGAUAUUUCAUAUGCAUGGCGUCUGCUCUUUUUUCUGAAUCUGGUUUUCCAAAUGGUUCUACACUGACAACAAAAUGGUCAAGAAAACACACAUGCAACUCGAGUUUUCAAGAAAUAUAUUCUCACAAGCAAAAGGUUUAGGGAUGUUCAAAGAAUAACUGGGUAACAGUAAGUUUGUGUAAAUGAUCUCAAUUUUAAAUAGAGAACGAGAAUAUUUGACUUAAUAUUUGCAUUUCAAACAAUUUGGAAUUCCAAAUUUACCAUUCUUGGUAAAAAUUUCUUUUUUGAGAGUCCCAUUUACAGCAUACUAUAAUUCAUUUUUGACUUUUUACGUUUGGAAUUAUCUGCGCUUAAGAUUUAUGCACCGAAAUUGUGUGUCAAUUUACUCCGUCGAUUCCUCAUGGACCCGCUGCGUCGCUUCCGCCCCAUUUUUCCCUCAUUUUCCUACCGAUUGUCCCCCUCUUUUCAACCCACACAUGCAAAGUAGGGAGGAAAAUUGCCGGCGUCGUUGUCGCAGCGGCCCAAUGAUGUGGAAAAUGUGAAUUUAUAUGUGAACAGCAGCAAGUACGCGGCGGCAUAAGUAAUAAAAGAAAAAACGGGGGGACGAGGAGCUGCGGGGCUGGGGAAAUCGACAGGAGUUCUCCCUGGUAUUCUUGUCACUGAUGCCAGUAAAGAUAAUUUUAACGAUCUCGAUAAACUUCAAUUUCCAUUGGCAGCCAAGAAGAACUCUCGGACCGGACCGGCCAUUUAUGAGGUACUUUUUCGCUUUUCUCUGCCUGCUUUCCUUUUUGUCCUGGCCAUUUUUCAUAAUUUUUCGAAUGGCGUUUAACUGUGUAACACUCUGUAAAUGAGAGGACAAGAGCGAUGACGUCAAAAAGAGGUGUCACACCAUUCUGAUUGAGUCCCCGGGCGGUGCAGUCACCGUUUCGAUAAUAAUAAUUCCUUAUUGCGUUGCCACCGAAUGGCAAUUGGAUUAUUACUGAUGCGGUUGUCGCAGGACAAGGAAAAAAUCUGCAAUUGAAAGCCCUGCGAUCCUUAAUCUCUUAUGCUGUGUAAGAGUGGUCGGUCAUAAAUUGAGUGUAAGCUGCUCUAGUGUGAAUUUAUAAUUCAUUUUUGGAAAAACUGUAAUUCGCUUAACAAAUAUAAUACAGAUCAUCGCAUAAUUCCCAAUUUUAAUAAAUAAAAAAAAAAUACAAAUUCCAAACAAAAUACGUAAUACACAUCCUCGAAUUGGUUACAAAUUCUCGCCUACUGACACACAAACUGAUACCUUCGAAUGUUUGCAUUUUUGCAUAACGCUUCGAAUCUGUUUGCAAACGGAGGAUUUUCUCAAUUAUUUUCCAUUUUCCGCAAUUCCAUUUUCGGCUUAUCAAUUGCAUUCGAAUUCAAAACGACAGUGGCAAUUAAAAGUGAACCAAGUAGAGCUAUGAAAAAUCACGGCCAACAAUUCGUUGGUGGUUUGCAAUCAAAUCAGAUUCCACUUUGACCAGGGCAGUAGAAAGGACUACAGAAAAAAAAAACGAACAUUCAACAUUCCGUAGUUAUUUAAUGGGUGCCGUUUGCGUUGUGGUAUUCAAUUCAUAACCACGUUCCAAACGGAAUAUGCAUUUGUUCAUGCACUGUCCGAAAAUCUAGGUAACAGAAUGGACACAAACAUUUGUUCAAAACAAUAUCAAAACAGAAGGCAUCAGCAAAAAAAAAUUGGGAAAUUUUUUUAAAUUUUCUUUAAUUUUAAUAAAAAUGUAGCCAAUGUUUAGUUAGUAAACUUAAGUUGUAUUAUUUUAGCCGUUUAGUUUCAGUGCUUAUUUAUGCUGAAUGCACGUUUAUCUGCCCACAUAACUGUAAGCCCGCCGGCUAUUUGGGAUUUUUUAUUACAUAUGCGCCACUUUUUUGUUUCAAAUGAUUUUUAUUUCGAUUUCAGGAAAAAAUGGUGAAAAUUGAAGGAUCGCGGAAUGGCAAGAGGAAACAGGAGUCAAUGGCAGAGGGUGAUGCCGACAAUAUUUUCAAUAGCUUUUCCCCAGCGGUUCCUUUUAUUUUGAUUUUAUUAUUUAGACUGUCUGAGUCUUUCUACAUUUUUUUUACCACAUCCCUAUCUCUUGUUCUCACGAUUCUUGCUCCUUUUAUUUGUCUGUAGUGCACAUUUUUCAUGUCACUAAAAAGGUUUCCUCGAUUUUCCCCUCGAACCAAAAUGCCAUUGCACGGCUUGCCUGCCUGCUACUGCAUAACAAUUUACCCUAUUUUUGAAUUUUCCAUAACUUUUUUCCUAUUGUAUUGUUUCCCAAAUUGGUAAGUUUAUUUUGGGGGAAUUCAAUUGAUGUCCUUCAAUAUAAUUUUUCGAUUUUUUGUUAUUGAAACCACGCAAUUUUUUUUCGAAAGAUUUAUAGAUUGUAUUAAUAUUUGCAUGGGAUUAGAUACUCCAUUUUCUCUUCGCUUUAUUUUAUAGGAUUUUGCAGAAUACAUUAAAAGCAAAUUAUCAGUCCCAUGCAUUGAUGUGCAUGAUGUGAUGUAUAGAAAAACUUAAGAACUUCCGAAAUGGUAUAGGGAUAGGGUAUUUCUUGGAUGCUCCUUCGUUCUGGCUGAAUCUAACAGCAUAUAAAUAUUGGAUAUAUUGAAAAGGCCAGAGGAAAAAAGAAAAACAAUGUGUAUGGAAAAACAUAUUCCCAUAUAUGCGCUCGUAUCUGUCUGCUUUAGUUUGGAGGGUCGUAGGCACCUCGAUCCCCGGGCAUCCCGUGCCCCUGUUCCACUUUAUUGCUCCCCCAUCGCCACCGGCUGCCAUUUAAUAGCAUGUGUCAAGUGCAUUGAAAAAGUCUAUUUACGUUGCAAUUGCACUGUCAGUGGCAGGCACCACCCAACCCCACCCCCCACCAGCCCCUUCCGGCACCACUGGCAACACUUUGCAACACCACCACCUCCACUUCUGCCGCCCACAAGCCUUUUCCUUUAUGCCACGCCCAGCCAUUCCGAUUUCUGUUGAUGAUUUUGUAUUUUUAGGAUUUUUAGCCAGCAAGAAUAGUUGCAAACAAAAAAAUAACUUCAACGAAAAUACAUAGAUAACCGAAAAACAAAGGAGGCACGAAAAAAAAGGGAAAGAAAAUUAAAUUUGAUAGGGAAAAUAUUGUUUUUGCGGUUUGGCGAAAAAUCAUUUUAUUUCGAAUGGUGGAAAUUUGUGGUUGAAGUGAAAUUGAUAUUUCAUAAACAAUAAAGGUAGCUCUAUCAGGGAUUGCCGGUAGCAGGGAUACCCAUAUUCUAUACCGGUAUACCCACGAUUUAUUGAUAAUCGGAUAGAGUUGCCAGGCACGCACAUGAAUAAUGGCAGUUCACCGCCUGCUUUUGUUCAAACACAUUUCGCAGUCCAUUUAAAGAGCCCUGAAGUGGAGGAGCAUUGGGUGUUCUAAGACGGGUGCUGCAGCUGGCAACAAUUUUGCACUUAAGUGAGUUUUCUUCCCCCAGCCCCAAGUGUGUUUACGAAAUAUAAAAUUGAAAAUCAAAUUAUUAUACAAACUAUAAACUAUUUUUCUUCAAGUUCCCCGGGGGGAAAAGUCAAGCGGUUGCCAUCACGUACCUGCAAGGAAACAAAGGGGAAAAUGAAUUGGUAAAAUUGUUGAUUAUUCGAGCAAAAGUUAUGAAAAUCAAAGUAAAAGCCAACGCACAAAAAGCAAAACCAGCGUCCACAUGAUGUCAUCAGCAAAUGGCAAGGACGAACUUUCACUUUUCCCUCCCUUCAAUGUAUGCUGUGAUUUCGUUUUCACCCCCCUUUAUUUUUCUUAUUUGGUUUCCAGUAAUUGACAGUCGUGAUUCAGAUGCAGUCGAGAGAUAAAAACUUUGCGCGCAUCCCCACCAAAAACAAUCAUGACAUAAAGUCACCCAAAAACCACCCAACACCACCCAACAAACACUCCCCACUCACACACAACUUCCUCUAGUUUUCGGCAAGCAAUGUUCGUUAUGAAAACUGAAAAUUUAUGGCCAAAAACCAAGAUAGUAAAGUUGCCUUGUGCUGUCACUUUCCCUAACCUCCGCUCAUUUUCCUAUAAUGUAAAUAAACUUAAAUUGUAUUAGGACAAAGUUUGCAUCGCUCAUUCUUUCAUUUAAUGGCCCACUUAAUGUUGGCACAUUUUAGGGCUUAAUGAUAAGAUCACAUCUUUGGCUGACAUAUCAUUUGUGUUGUUUUAAAUUAAAUGUUCCUCACUGGCACACAAAAGAAAUGCAUUAAGUAUAGUAAAGUGAAUCCCAAGCCGAGUUUAGUUAUACGUAGAUACAAAAUGUUGGAUCAGCACAAUGAUUUCACCUACUUAUGAAUUCAUUACACUUCAAAGAGAUGUCAACGCCAUUUGCUCGCUUGCCUCUCAUUGAUUCGAGAUUCCGAUGCGGAACUUGCCACUUGACACAUUGCAAUUCCUCCAUCCGUAUCCUUGUGAAUCCCUCUGAAAGACCCACACCCAGAUCACCCUAAUUUCACCAUCAAGCUCUGUGUAUCGACCCCUCUUGACUGCCACUAAAUGGGUCAACUUGUCUUCUUUAGCCGCACACACAAAACGGCCAAUUGUCACUGAGUUUGAGAACAAUUUUGUGGCACAACGGCAGUCGGGAACUCAGCCAGAAGCUCUUUUCGACGCCAAUCGGAACCCCACUUUUGAAUUGUUUUUUUUUUCUUACUAAAAAUGCUGUUUAGGAACUGUAGUCUAUUUCUGGUAUAACACCAUAAAAUACCUUAUUAAUUAAGGAUUUAAAGGACUGAUUAUGUUUAAAUAUAUGUGGAACAAUAAACUGUUUAUAAAAACACUUAUAUCGCAUUUUUGUUGCUUAAAUAAAUCGAUGGUUUCCUUGGUUCUUCCAGUGUGCAUAUCUCCCGGAAAAAAAAAAUAUAUAUAUAUUUAUAUAUAUAUCCCGUUUAGAUAGGUCUUUUCUUUCUGCUGACUUUGCAUGUCAUCUGACUGCAACGGCUGAGGCUGUUCCUCCACCUGAUUUUCCCCGACUCCAUUGUAGAAAACUCGGCAGCGCGUUUAAGCGGAGCAAUCAACUUGUCCGGAAAAACAGACAGCCAGACAGACAGAGUAGAGGACCUACGGAGGCCUUGACAUUCAGGAAGAGAAUCAAUUAUUUUCGGAGAAAUUCUUUCCGCUGGCAGGAGAUUAAACUUAAACAAUCAGCUGAAAAAGUUUUGGAGUCGUUGUUGCCUUUGCUUUUUUUUUCAUUAUUUUUUACUUGCUCAACGUUCUCCACAAAAGAAGCCAAAUGAGCUUUUAAUUAGUCAGAGAAGAAGCCUUCGAUGUGCUGCUAAUCAACUUUUUCUAUGCAAAAAGAACUACAGAGAUUAAGAUUUAAUGAGAUAGACCACAAUAGAGAGCCAUCAGAAUGAAUAAAGGGGAAAACUGGAGAGAUAAAACCUGGAGACGAACUGUAAUUUUUUUGUUAUGCAGAUACGUGCAAUGGCCAUUUUUAAGCAGGAUGUUCUGGUGGCAGCUGCUCGUCAUCAUCGUUGAAUUGAAGUCAAUUGAUGAGGUUGCUGAUGCAUGUUGCAUAUUGAAACGCCCCAUGUUUUCCCCGAACUUACAACAGUGCCAUCGAAAGAGGCAUAUGAACACACUCCCUACUAAAAAACAACAGUUGAGACCAAAAUCGCCCAUUCCACAAUUCCUCAGAUGUCAUUUUGUCGGCAUGACUUUGAAGCAGGUUGUGCCCCCCUAUUUUUUCCGACUGCCUCAAGUGGGUGAAAGAAGUUUAAUUAGGCGCCCAAGAUAAAAGAGACGAAAAAAAUGUUCGAUUGUAUUGACAUGGUAAAAUAAUCUCGUAUAAAGUCUAGUAAAACAUGCCAAAAACUGUAA